rnacentral:tRNA from 1 species
GAGGGUAUAGCUCAAGUGGUAGAGCACAUGCUUAGCAUGCACAAGGUCCUGGUCCUGGGUUCAAUCUCCAGUACCUCCU